UGAAGAAAAAUCUGUUUAUUGAUGAAAAGUUGCAAAAGUUCUCUUGAUACAAAGAAUACAUGGGUUUAUAAAGAGUUAUGAUUCCUAAACUAAAUAGGAAUAAACUUUACAAGUCCUAAAUUAAGUAAGAAAAUAAAACACAAUCAUGAUGAAAGAAGAAUCCUACUUAUAAUAGGAAUUAGAAACUUAAUAGCAAGUUUAAAAACAAACCGGACACAGCUAGCCAACGACUACAUGGCUGUGUAGAUUCACGCAGCUUGAAAGCACGCUGGUUUGAGAGACGCGAAGCAUAUGCCUUGGACAGGGCUAGGCUGGAUAGCUGUUCGGUUUCACACGACAAGACUGGGUGGCAUACUGCAUUUUGUUACUCUUUGAUUUGGACACUCUGUCACUAGAUCCCUCAUUUUCAUUGGGUUCUUGAAGUUUUUCCAAGGCUUCUACCACUUUUUUCAUGGUUGGUCUAGACGUUGGUUCUGAUGAGACGCAUAGCGAUGCUAAUUUAGCUGUUUUUAGCACACUGUCUUUUGAAAAAUGGCCCCAACUUCUAGCAUUCAGAAUCCGGAAAAUAUUGUAUGCAUUGUCAAGGCAAGGCCUUGCCCACUGGACCAAGUUCCUUUCCUCGUAUGGCCUUUUUGUGUCUAUGGCUGGCCUGCCACAUAACAAUUCCAGUAGAACAACCCCAAAACUGUAUACUUCACAUCUUGUUGAUAGAUGACCUUCACAAGAAUGAAACAAAAUGACAUAGAGGUAGGUAUAAUAGCUGUGAUGCUUUAAAAUAGAAGGCCAUUUCAACUGAGACACAAACAUUUGCGUUGACAGAAGGGAGCUGUAGUUUAUGAUCAAGUUUUUCUAGAAGACAGAAUUCUGAAUGUGAACAUGAACAAAGUACAAAAUCACAAUAUACCUGACUCCAUAUACUCAGGAGCAUAAUACCCUUCAGUACCCAAAACCCUUGUUGUG
rnacentral:misc_RNA from 1 species